rnacentral:rRNA from 1 species
UUUUAUGGAGAGUUUGAUCCUGGCUCAGGAUGAACGCUGGCGGCGUGCCUAAUACAUGCAAGUCGAGCGAACAGACGAGGAGCUUGCUCCUCUGACGUUAGCGGUGGACGGGUGAGUAACACGUGGAUAACCUACCUAUAAGACUGGGAUAACUUCGGGAAACCGGAGCUAAUACCGGAUAACAUGUUGAACC